CGGGUCGAGAGGCGCUGCGACGGAUGACCAUCCGCCACGCUCGGCCUGUUCCUUGGUCCAAGGGCGCCUCCCGCU
rnacentral:ncRNA from 1 species